rnacentral:rRNA from 1 species
UACGUAGGGUGCAAGCGUUGUCCGGAAUUAUUGGGCGUAAAGAGCUUGUAGGCGGUUUGUCGCGUCUGCUGUGAAAUUUCGGGGCUCAACCCCGAACCUGCAGUGGGUACGGGCAGACUAGAGUGUGGUAGGGGAGACUGGAAUUCCUGGUGUAGCGGUGAAAUGCGCAGAUAUCAGGAGGAACACCGAUGGCGAAGGCAGGUCUCUGGGCCACUACUGACGCUGAGAAGCGAAAGCAUGGGGAGCGAACAGG